rnacentral:rRNA from 1 species
ACGUUAAUCGGGGCAGGGUGAGUCGACCCCUAAGGCGAGGCCGAAAGGCGUAGUCGAUGGGAAACGGGUUAAUAUUCCCGUACUUGGUGUUACUGCGAAGGGGGGACGGAGAAGGCUAUGUUGGCCGGGCGACGGUUGUCCCGGUUUAAGCGUGUAGGUGUGUGUUCCAGGUAAAUCCGGUUCACUUUAACACUGAGGCGUGACGACGAGGCACUACGGUGCUGAAGCAACAAAUGCCCUGCUUCCAGGAAAAGCCUCUAAGCAUCAGGUAACAUCAAAUCGUACCCCAAACCGACACAGGUGGUCAGGUAGAGAAUACCAAGGCGCUUGAGAGAACUCGGGUGAAGGAACUAGGCAAAAUGGUGCCGUAACU